rnacentral:rRNA from 1 species
UACGGAGGGAACUAGCGUUGUACGGAAUUACUGGGCGUAAAGGGCGCGUAGGCGGAUUUGCAAGUCGGGGGUGAAAUCCCGAGGCUCAACCUCGGAACUGCGUUCGAUACUGCAAAUCUCGAGUCCGGGAGAGGACGGAGGAAUGCCUAGUGUAGAGCUGAAAUUCGUAGAUAUUAGGAAGAAUACCAGUGGCGAAGGCGGCUCUCUGGUCCGGUACUGACGAUGAGGCGCGAAAGCGUGGGGAGCAGACAGG